ensembl:lncRNA
ACCCCUCCCCCAUUAAAAUCUUCCCCAAACAAGAGUCCUUUCUCCUCUGAAGAGGGACCCUCUGUCCAACGCCAAGUGACUCUCAUGGAGGCCAUAGGCGGUGGGACACUUGCCUUCACAAAAGGAGCUGGAGUGUCAAAUAAACUCAGUCAGAGCCCCCGACACACAAUCAUUCCUUUAUCAGGGCACCGCGAGAGGGACACAGAGACAGACUUUGUGUCAACGAGCGGACCUUGACAAAACACUGGGUGUUUUUAAUGUCGUUUUUAUUCCGCUCCCUUCUUCGAUUGAGCCUCGUCUUCUUCCGGGAGGGAUGUGUGUCGGGGUUCUGUUUACGGGACCCGUCUCACACCCGGCAUCUGUCCUGCACACGGCUAGGCUGACCUGGACCUGUGUGGUGCAGGCCUGGAGAGGUACACUGUCUGCACAGCACAACAGAGCACAACACAACACACUCCCCAGCCAGGCCUGGAGAGGUACACUGUCUGCACAGCACAACAGAGCACAACACAACACACUCCCCAGCCAGGCCUGGAGAGGUACACUGUCUGCACAGCACAACAGAGCACAACACAACACACUCCCCAGCCAGGCCUGGAGAGGUACACUGUCUGCACAGCACAACAGAGCACCACACA